rnacentral:rRNA from 1 species
ACGCUCGACACCUACGGGGCAGCAGUGAGGAAUAUUGGUCAAUGGGCGCAGGCCUGAACCAGCCAAGUAGCGUGAAGGAUGACUGCCCUAUGGGUUGUAAACUUCUUUUAUAUGGGAAUAAAGUUUUCCACGUGUGGAAUUUUGUAUGUACCAUAUGAAUAAGGAUCGGCUAACUCCGUGCCAGCAGCCGCGGUAAUCUGAGCGGGCUGGCAAGGC